AUGAUUGAAGUUCUGCAUCAGAGUUUCUAAAACCAGGGGUUGCUCAGCUGCCUGGAGGUCAUACCUACACAGCCAGACACCAAACCUGUUGGAUCAACACUGCAGCCCCUGCUAUUCCCACUGCUGCUGUGGUUGCUGCUAAGGUCCUAAGGGCACAGCCAAAGCCUGGGAGUUAGUGUGUAGCCAGGCUGAGGAGGAAGAUGAGAUUGUAUCACUUCACUGCGUGGACAACAAGGACAGAAUGCAAAAUGCUUUCCAUGCCUGCCCACAGCCUUUACACUUCCAGACCUUUAUUACUCCAAAUUUAGGGAUAAAUUUUUCUUGUAAGAGCACCUUUAUAUCAGUAUAAACGUGUCCACAUUAGGGGGUUGUACUUUUGCAUCAAUUUUGGAACUGAAACUGCUCUAGGGAUUCAGGAACUGUCUGUCCACUAGCCCUCACUGCUUUUAGAUGGGGAGGAUUUCUAAACAAAGGUUUGUCCAAAUCAAACCUAUGGGUGUGGAACCCUAAGCCUUUGAAGUACUUGUAGUAGACUGUGAGCUGAAUGUCACAACUUGGCCUCAGUUGCUGUUAGAGAGGGGCAAAUUAUGAUAUUUUCCCAUUUCUCCUUAUUGAGUAACAAGUACCAUUUAACAGGAAAAGAAGUUAAUUUUAACGGUAGUAGAAUUUUAUAAGCAAGAUUUGCUAUAAUGCACCCAAUGUUAACUACUACUAGGCUGUUAGUGGAAAAAAAUAAACUCGUAGCGUAAGAGCUCUAAAAAAAGGAUUAAGUAUUAGUUGUAACGUUUUAAAGAUCCCUGUGCAAACAUUGACCAAAUGGACUUUGCAAAGGAGCACAGAGAUGACUCUCCUGACAACAUGAAAACAUGAAGAGUUCCUGGACAUCUGCUUCACUGCCUUAGCCUAGGGGCUGGAAGAGUGGCUACAGCUGCUCUGACUGUUUUUCUCAAAAUACCCUGUGAAACAUUUAAUAAUGGGUAUGCAAAUGUGAUACCAGCAGGGUGGGUUUAUUGUGCAGUGACUAAUCUCUGUCACAGCACGAUUCUGAGCGUGAACUCUCCAGAAAUGUCCUGAAGAGGCUGUGGGCACAUAUGAUGUGAAGUGAUUCCUAAUACAGAGUUCUUAACUGGA